rnacentral:rRNA from 1 species
UACGUAGGGUGCAAGCGUUGUCCGGAAUUAUUGGGCGUAAAGGGCUCGUAGGCGGUCCAUCACGUCGGGAGUGAAAAGCUGGGGCUUAACCCCAGUCCUGCUUCCGAUACGGGUGGGCUAGAGGUAGGCAGGGGAGAACGGAAUUCCUGGUGUAGCGGUGAAAUGCGUAGAUAUCUGGAGGAACAACGGUGGCGAAGGCGGCGUCCUGGACCAACACUGACACUGAGGAGCGAAAGCCAGGGGAGCAAACGGG